AUUACACGUGAAUGUUAUAUGAUAUAUGAUAUAUGACAUAUGUGUGUUUCAUAGUGUAAUUUAAAUGGUUUGUGGAGUGUGUACUUAACUGUGUGCAUUAAUAUCAGUGUUCUUUAGCCUGUUAUUCCAUUUGGGCAGAGGGUUUUAUUUAGGCAAUGUUAGAGUAAAAAUAUUUGCAAGUCUGGGUUAGGUAGUAGAGGGGGUGACAUAGCAAAUUUUAGAUUUUUUUUGGAGAUUCUGAUGUUGUUUCCAUUUUUUAUUAAAGUCGUUGUAAUGAGUAGCUUGGAAAUGUGGUCAUUUGAAUUAAAGGUUCUCCUUUCAGGUCUUCCACAUCCAAAGUUAGAUUGGUGACUAAGUGACAACAGAGAACCCAUAUGUUGUUAUUCUUGGGGACAAGAGUACAAUUAGGGGUGGAAGUGGCAAGGUCAUCAACAACAAAGCAGAGGAUAGAAUAUUUGUAUAUUACUUGAUCAUGGAGGCCCUGAAGUUCAUGAGAGAAGAGGAGGAAUUAAAGGGAAACAAUCAGCCAAUGUGGAUUGAAGAACAAAGAGAUGUGAAUGAGGAGCAUCACAAUGAUAUCAAACUUUCAGUUUGUAGAAAUCAUGUUUAAGUUUGUGUUUAGAGACUAGCUAGGAUGACGGUAUAAAACUUGAUGGGAAUGAAGGUUGCGAAGGUGUUGUGGAAUGCUAAAAGUUGCAGUUGUCCACCAGCCUGUUUCUGUUGCAACCGAUGCCGGAGGCUAUGCAUGUUUUUCACAAUUAUGUAUUUAUCUCAUUUUGCUAUGUUGUCUAAACUAUUUGCCUCUUUAAUGCACAAACAAUUGUCCAUUUAGACA